UACGAAGGGUGCUAGCGUUGUUCGGAAUUACUGGGCGUAAAGCGCGCGUAGGCGGCGAUACAAGUCAGGGGUGAAAUCCCACAGCUCAACUGUGGAAUUGCCUUUGAAACUGCAUUGCUAGAGUGUCGGAGGGGAUAGCGGAAUUGCUAAUGUAGAGGUGAAAUUCGUAGAUAUUAGCAGGAACACCGGUGGCGAAGGCGGCUAUCUGGACGACAACUGACGCUGAGGCGCGAAAGCGUGGGGAUCAAACAGG
rnacentral:rRNA from 1 species